GGAAUCUUCCACAAUGGACGAAAGUCUGAUGGAGCAACGCCGCGUGAGUGAAGAAGGUUUUCGGAUCGUAAAACUCUGUUGUUGGAGAAGAACACGUUUGAGAGUAACUGUUCAGACGUUGACGGUAUCCAACCAGAAAGCCACGGCUAACUACGUGCCAGCAGCCGCGGUAAUACGUAUGUCCCGAGCGUUAUCCGGAUUUAUUGGGCGUAAAGCGAGCGCAGACGGUUGAUUAAGUCUGAUGUGAAAGCCCGGAGCUCAACUCCGGAAUGGCAUUGGAAACUGGUUAACUUGAGUGCAGUAGAGGUAAGUGGAACUCCAUGUGUAGCGGUGGAAUGCGUAGAUAUAUGGAAGAACACCAGUGGCGAAGGCGGCUGUCUGGUCUGUAACUGACGCUGAGGCUCGAAAGCAUGGGUAGCGAACA
rnacentral:rRNA from 1 species